GAGACCUGAAGGAGCUCCUGGUCUUGGGAUCACAUCAGGCAGGUACGUUACCAGCUUAAUUGCAGUGUACAUGCUAUUUCAAACAUAGAAUGUACAUACAGCAUAUUAACUUAGGAAAAAACUAUUGUGUGUGGUUAAACAGUUUAUAAACCUAUCUUGCCUCCUUUAUGAUAAGAACAUUUUGAUGUUAGUUGUGGAUGGAUAUUUAUAGUUUUCAUAUUUCAAAACAAAAACUUUGCUGUGCAAGAUGUAACUGGCCUAUGUAAACUUAAGACGUACUAUUGGUUUACUUUAGGAUGCAGUUCAAUAAACUUCUAUUCCUCUUCUCAACAAUUGUUGUCUGCGCUUCGGCUGCACAUUUCCUUGAACAAGAAUGGAAUCUGUGGAAAUCUAAAUACGGUAUGUAAUUACACAGAUACACACAUGUAUGAGUUAUGCUAAUUAGUGACAUGUACAUACAAACAUAACUAUGAUUUGUUUAUUGUUUAUUAAUUCUGUGUCAAUGCAAUAAAAGAUUUAGUUGGUUUCCACGAUGUACGUUAAGUGCCUUGCCACAUAAUUGUAAGCUUGUUAUCGCCUUAUUAUAUUCUUUACUCUAUGUAUUUGCGGUUUCUCUUAAUUACAUUAAAUAACUUCAAUAUAUUUUAAAUAUAUAAUAGCCCUAAAGAUUGUCAGAAACUUAUAUUGCAAAUGCAAAGAUUAUGAACAUACAUAUUAAGAACUUUAACUGUGUUGCUGGACAAGAAAAAAAAGACAAAUAGUGGUUUGAUGGAUACGUACCGAUCAUUAAAAUGUGUGAAUGCUCAUCAAAAAACCAAAAGGCCAAUUUUUUCAACCAUACCUACAGCUCUAUACUACUGUAAUUUGCUCUAUUUGAAGGGCAAAUUACAUCACAUGAAAAGUGUUAGCAUUUUAACUGUUUUUAAUUACCUUUCCUUUUUUUAAAUAUUCAUUUUACUGGACUUGUGUGCUCGUAUCCGUCUUUAGUCUUGCAAGGGAAUAUGGGAAUUAAUAAAUACUAAAUGCGCAACAAAUAGUUAAAAAGCAAACAAACUACUUUGAGCACAAAGAAAGUUUAAAAUCUUUAUUGUGACUUCAAAUACAGUGCAGGAUUUGUCCAAAGGUUGUGAAUUAACUUGUUUCAAUGGUUAAAUUCCAUGGCAGGAAAACAAUAUGACACAGAAGAAAUUGAGCUGAAUCGCCAAGAAGCAUGGUUAGCCACGAGGGAUCUGGUGCACCAACACAACCAGCUGGCAGAACUAGGUCUUAAAAACUACACUUUGGCAAUGAAUCAGUUUGCAGAUCUGGUAAGUUUUCUGAAACCAUUCUGUAAGAGUAUUAUUCAUUUAAUUAAAGUUAGAUUUUUUUUGUUUCUAUACCAGAUUAUAUAAACAUCUAAAAUAUUAUUAUUAUUAUUAUUAUUAUUAUUAUUAUAUACUAUAUAUAGAUAAGCAGCAUUUACAAUGCCACUAGAUAAUAGUAGUGGCAAUUUUAACUAUAGAAAAAAAAAACAUAGAAAAGAGCCACCAUCAAUGGUUUUGCAAUAACAUUAAUGGAUUAUAAAAUAUGGACCACUGGAAAUGUAUGGAAAAGAGUGUGGGAGCAACUACAUUAAUUUUUGUUGACUUCUUGGAAAAGGACAUUUUUACAUUUCAUUAAGUAGUUUUUAUAUAUUAUUUAAAAAAAAUGUAAAAUGUUUUAUUUGCAUAAUAUUGCAUUUAGUGAAUGGAAUGAAGUGAUUGAAAUGUUUUUUUUUUAUAAAUAUGGUUAUCCUGUUUCAGACCCCAGAAGAACGGGCUUCCCACAUCAGCCUUGGUUUGAAAGGACAAUUGGCAAUUUCACACCAUACCCAUAUUCGCCAUGGAAAUCUGCCUGUUAUUCCUGAUGAAUAUGACUGGAGAAAUUCAAAAUGUGUGACUCCAGUUAAAAGUCAAGGAGAAUGUGGCUCAUGUUGGGCAUUUGCUACGGUAAAAACGAUUUAUGAGCUUAUAAGAAUGGGUUUAUGCUACUAAUAUGUUAAGUCAUGGUAAAUUCACAAUGAAUAACAUUAGAGUGUGACUUUCAAUAUUGAGGUCUAUUAUGUUAGCCAAGAAAUGUCCUUUUACAAUGUAGUGCCUGGGGCAAAAGAGAGCAGAUAGAUAAACUGAACUUAAUCAUUUGAGCUGCCAUCUUGUUCCUCAUUCUACUUGAACUCGGAGUACAAUAUGGUAGCCUGUGGAGAGAUCUCAGUAUUUUUCAAGAUGAUCUUGCACAAGCUCAAUGACAUGUCAUCAAUAUCUAUUGUUCAUGCUUCAAAAUGAUGCCUGUUCCGAUCAGCACAAUUUGGCACAUUGUGCAGUCAUUUGAUUUUUUUUACACAUUUAUAGAUGCAAUCUCAUUGCAACUGUAUGAACUGUCAGGUUGUUCAAAGCUUACUACCGGUAGUAAUUUGUACCCAUACUUAGCUAUCCCACUAGUCAUAGUUCUGCCUGUACAUGGUUAAAGAAUUUGCUGUUUUUCUUGCAUCCUUUAAAAGCAAGGUUUUUUGUAAUUUUUAUUUGCCUAUUAAUUUAUGGAUAAUGUUCAAUAAAUUAUUAAUUCAUUACAAUUACAAUUAUUUAUAUAGCACAAACAUAUUAAUAAUAUAUAGUAUACAUAAGUAUAUAUACAUAUAUAUAUAUAUAUAUAUAUAUAUAUUUAGAGAGAGAGAGAGAGAGAGAGAGAGAGAAAAUCCACCCACAAAAAUAUAUAACAAUUUGACAUUUUAUUAGUAGUUUAUUAGUAUUUUUAUAUACUUUGACCUAUUAUUUAGAUGCAGCUAGCACUUAGGCAACUUGUGUGACUUUUAACCGGUUAACUGCUGCCUGUCAGUAGUCCUUCACAGCUGAGCUACUUCUUUGUGCUCCGCUGUGGUCAAGCAUAAGAUAACACCAUUCAGUGCAGGCAGCCGUUGUUACAUGAGAAUAUACUGCUAGGUAUCUUGCAGACAAAAUGGAGCCAGUUCAGCAACCCCUUAUUUUACACUUUACUGCUUGACAGAAACCUUUAAUUUAUUACGCUGCUAUGAUCUAGGCAGCUUUUGUGAUAUUUAAUUGGCUAAUCGCCGUCUGUCAGAAAUCUCUCAGCUGAACUAUUAUCUUUGAUCUUUUUGAGGUUAAGCACCAUAGAACAUUAUCAAUUGUUGUAUGUGGAGUUAACCCAUGUCGUUAGUUGUACUAUCAUGUAGGGAUUUACUUAUCCAUAUCUUUUAACUAUUGACAGCACUGGUUUAGCAGUUGUCUUAUCUCCCCCCCUCUUGUUACAGCUAUUAGUGAUAUAUAAUAUAGUAUCACUUCUAUUACUUGGGAAUACACUGUUAUAUUGUAGCUAAACAGUAUUGCUUCAGCAUUAGUGUUAUUAUGUAUACACUUUUACAGCUUAUAUAAGUAGUCACAGAGUUUUACUCGCUGUAUAGUCUCCAUUUACUCCUGCUGUUCAUAUUAUUUUUUCUUUUUUAUAUUUUAUUUUAGAUUUAUUUAUUAAAAGUUACUUUUUAAUCUACAAUCUUCUCAGUAAAUCAUACACAGGUAGAAUGGCAUUUGUUUCUUUUUUUGUUUAUUCUCUAUGAUAUUCACCAUUUAGGGGUUACCCCCCUUUUUUUUGUGCCCUCUACCUUGUGAUAUCUAAAUUUUGGCCCUAGGUUAAUUAAUUUUUUUCAUUUUCUUUGUAUAAUAUUUUUAUCAUCUGAUCUAACAAUAAUGGCAUGUAUACAAUACUAAUGAAAAUUACAAGCUGGAAUAUCCUUUUUUUUGUAUGACAAUUCUCUUUAUAUUUUCUUUGUUGCGAUUUUCUUUAGAGGUAUUUGUGGAGACAUAACCUACCUGAUUCCUGUACCUACCAAUCUCUGUUAGUGCAGUUGGUUUGUUAUUGUGUUUUGAUGUUUCUUGCUAAAUUAAACGGAUCUUAUGUAAAUUGUUUUUGAAGGUGAGCCUUAUUGAAACCCGGUACUGCCUUGAUAAGGGUAAGCAACUCAUAUUCAGUGAGCAGCAGCUUGUGGAUUGCGAUAAAGCAAAUGAUGGUUGUGAUGGUGGACUCCCAGUUAAGGCUCUGGAAUAUGUUUCCAAAAAUGGUAUUAUGAAGAGUGAUGACUACAAAUAUAAAGAAAAGGUAGGAGAAAAAAUGAAAAUAACCUACUAAGUUCUCAGCGAUUACUUUUCUCGCAACCUAUUUCAUUACCCCUACUAAUACCCUUUUGUAUCACUGUACCACACUCCCUCUAGCAUGUAAGCUCAUUGAGCCGGGCCCUCAACCCCUCUGUUCCUGUGCGUACAUUUGUCUGGUUACAAUUAUGUGUCUGUUAGUGCACCCAUUGUACAGCACUAUGGAAUUUGCUGGCGCUAAAUAAAUAAUAAAAUAAUAUUAAUAAUUUCAUCCCUUGAGACGAUCAUGUACAGUUCUUUUACAUUUAGAUUUUCGCUUGUGUAUUACUAUAAAUUGAAGAGAAUUUUGAGAAGUCACUGCACUUUGACUGACUGCCCCAAAACCUGACCAAUCAUACUGGAGAGGUAGAAUCAGCCAGUGAUAUAGAUUUGUUUGAGUGAGCUAGGGAUGCAUGGUUAUACAUACUGUGUGUGGACACAGGAUUUGGACCAGACACUGAAUACAAGGAGUAGAAUUAUAGCAUUGAUGCUAGAAUUAUAGCAUUGGGGAUUUUUUGGUAACCGUGGUAUAGAGCACAAAGUAAUUAGAUUUAGGGGAUUUGGGUAUCUCUGCUACAUAAUAUUUAUAUUAAAGAGGGUAUUUGUAUGGAUCAGGGGCCCUGUUCUCAACCUUGAUAACUCCUACCAUCAUUUGAAUAUGACAGAUAAAAAAAGGGAAGAGGUAAUUAAAAGCAAUUCUUCACCAUCCAGAAUAAGGGGGUCCUCUAGACCAUAACAGAGUUUGUUUCUCCACCAUAACUCAUAAGGUAUAGGGUAAAAUUAAAGCCAAGAGCUCUGCAAGGUAUGCCAUGGGCAGUCCAAGCACCAAGGGGUUUAAAGAUCUAAACAACUAGUAUGACAAUGUUUUCCUGUCCUUCCUAUGAGAGAUCAAGUUCAUAAAUUUAUUUUCGCUGUUUGUUUCUUUGUAGCAAGGUAAAUGCUUAUUUAACUCAAAUAAUGCAAUAAAGAUGAAAGCAAAAAAAUUCUAUUAUGUGAAUGGAGAAGCAAAUAUGGCAGCAUCAGUGGCAACUAAUGGACCUCUCACUGCUGGAAUUGGAGUUGAUGAUGAAUUUAUGCUGUAUGAAAAAGGUAAUUACUAACGAAGCAUGUUAAUGAUGCUAUAUUAUUUUUCAUGUCAAAGUACGUUAUGAGAUGUAUUCUUCUGAUUACUCAGAACGUCUAGUCAGUUGUAUACAAAGGAGACCCAACUAAAAAUGUUGUUUUAUUUAAAUAAAUUCCAGUAACUCUUGUGAUGAUGUCAUUUAAAAUAAAAUAUAGAAGAACUAGAAUAUUAUUAUUCAACUAAUGAAAUGUAUUUAACCAUAAACAAAUAAACGUAUUUGACAGUUCAGCUAGAUCAAUAAUUGAGAAGUUACCCGCAGUAAACAUAUAAGGAAUGAAAGUUGAGAUUCUGUUCUUGAUAGAAAUCAAUUAACAAUUUGCUCAGCAUGAGUUUGCCCCCAGGUUUAGCUUUUGAGUCUCCAGGUCCACAUGAGUUCUAUCUAACAAAGCCACAAUUUGAUUAAAUCAAUAUGGUGACAAUACUUGUUAUGGAAAUAGUGGCAGUUUAACUGAUGCUAUCUGUCUGUGCAAUGUAUCAUAAUUGCUAUUUACCAUAACAACUUUUUAGGAUUCAGGAUUGUAAAAAUCAAUCCAUAACUUGCUAUUCAGAAUGUAUGUCAUUUCACAAACUAGUUUUUAGAACAUGUAUUGAUCGUUAAGCUCCAGAUUGACAAACUUUCCAUCUCGAGCUCUACAAAUAAUUUUGACAUAACUUUAUUAAAUAUUUUUUUAACAAAUGUUAUUUUUAAGAGAUCAGCAAGUACAAUAUACAAUUGGAGAGGAAAUACAGGUGAAUGUUAAAUUAAUAGUGAAGUUAUGGACCAACUACCAAAUUAUCUUCAACACUGGAUGCAAUAGUGUAGUUAAGUGAAAGUGACAACCUUAAAUGUAAAAAAAAAAAAAAAAAUGCACAUAUAUGUAACUUAAAAAAAAAAAAUGUUUAAUCUUUUAUUUAAUUAAGGAAUAUAUGAUGGAACCUGUGCUGAUGGACCAAAUCAUGCAAUCGUCGUUGUGGGUUACGGCCGUAACUACUGGACAGUUAGGAAUAGGUAAAUGAUUAAUUUCACUUUGAUCUAUGUCUUUCAUUGCAUAUUGACAAAAAUGGAAAAUCACUUUUUUCACAGAAUCACAAAAAUCACAAAAGCUUAUAAGUGGCUGAUCUUUGGGUGACAUAUAACAUACAAUGCACUGUAAGCUAUUUCACCUAAGAGAUGCUGAGUUACAUUAAAAAAAAAGUUAAGUGAAGAUGAGUGCACUUCAAAUUCAAUGUGAUUACUCUCCGUUUCUUAAAAGAAAUAAAAAAAAUAACUUGGCUCAGCUCAAUAGCUCAGAAGUGUACCACCAUAGUUCAAUUUUGCCUUGAAGCAACACAGUCCCAGGGUUGAUUUUAGUUUCUGAUAAAUUAUUACAGAUUGUUUAGUUGAUACUUAUUAACUAAUGACAGAAUAUAAGAAUUCCGUGGUCCAUAUAGUUUGUCCAUUCUACAAUAUGUAUCAUUGUUGUAUCAACGGUCUGUUAUCUUGUAGUUUGAGAUAUUAAUCGUCUUAUCUGGAAAUCAGUUAUUUACUAUAGUCCAACUCCAAAUAUGUUGUUUAAUUAUAAACAUGCUCAUAUAUUAAAAGUUGGAUAGCUAACAUAAAAGCUUAUCUUUGCUUGUUGUCCAGGGAAAUAUAAAUAUUCAAUUAAAAACAUGUCUGUGCAUCCUAUAUUUGCCCCUUGAGCUUACACAGAAAAAUAUUAAUUCUUGAUAUUUACCUCCACUUUUGCAAAAGAAAAUACUUGCAAAUUCAUUAAUGUUGGCAUAAACCUUAUUACAGGUAUUAAGAAUGAACAUCUUGUAAGUGCUGCAAGGAUUAGAAUUGUUGGAGCAUAUACAAUAGUUUGAAAUAUUAUUGCAUUACAAUCAUUAAUUAAAUAUUGUAUAUUUUUUUUUUUGUAGCUGGGGUGAUGGUUGGGGAGAAGCCGGCUAUGUGAGAAUGAAGAGAAACAUUAACCAGUGCAGUAUAGGCGUCAUGCCAGCGACUAUGGAAUUCACAUUCAAUUAAAGAACACCUCGAGCAGCAACACAAAAUUCAGUGGUUGGCAAAGAAGAAUAUCCCUCUCGAUGAAUUGGCUUUUGUUUUUAUUAAAUCUUUACUUCGGGAUUUUGAGAUGGGCUCCACCUAUAUAAAACCGAUGAAUGUUAUCAUGGCAUAUGGUUUAUUUUUUAAUUAAAGGAAAUCCAUUUAAUUUAUAUUUUCUAUUGUAUUUUUUACAUAAAG
rnacentral:lncRNA from 1 species